AGGGAUAAAAGACUACACAUUGGAUACAGUGUACACUGCUUGAGUGACAAGUGCACUAAAAUCUCAGAAAUCAGUGCUAAAGAAUGUAUGUGCAUAGCUGGGUGUGGUGGCUCACACCUAUAAUCCCAGCACUUUGGGAGGCCAAGGCAGGCAGAUAACCUGAGGUCAUGAGUUCGAGACCAGCCUGGCCAACAUGGCAAAACCCCGUCUCUACUAAAAAUGCAAAAAGUAGCCGGGUGUGGUGGUGCGUGCCUGUAGUCCCAGCUACUUAGGAGGCUGAGGGAGAGGAUCACCUGAAUGCAGGAGACAGAGGUUACAGUGCGCCAAGAUCGGGCCACUGGACUCAGGCCUGAGCAACAGAGCAAGACUCUGCCUCAAAAAAAAAAAAAAAAAAAGAAAAGAAAAGCAAAAAGAAUGUACCCACACAACCAAACACCACCUGUACCCCAAAAACUAUUGAAAUUAAAAAUAAUUUUUGUAAAAGAAAGAAAUGAGGUCUACAUGUAAAAGUGGCUAAAAAUGAUACACACACACACAAAGGAAUAUGAUUCAGGCUUAUUAAAAGGAAGGCAAUUCCGGCACAGGCCACAGCAGGAAUGAGCCUUGAGGCCAGGAUGCUAAGUGAUGUCAGCCCGUCACAAAAGGACAAAUGCGACUGUGCGAUUCCACUUCCAUGGGUGCAGACAGUGGUCAGAUUGCUGGAGACAGAGAGCAGGACGCUGGCUGCCAGGGCCGGGAGACGGAGAGACAGGAGCUGGGGUUACCAUUUCAUGGACGCGGAGUUGCGUCCCCUUUGAUGAGGCAUUCUGGAGGCGGAUGGUGGCGACACUCACCCAUCUACGCAAUGGCUGAGUGUCCUCCAUGCCACCGAACUGGUUAAGAUGCCACCAAGAUGGGAAUAUUUUCGGUCAGUUUUCAACGUAUUAAAGAAAACGUGUUCUUCUCCGCAAGAAAGCAAAGUUUACCCACUGGUCUAGCACAGAAUGCAAAAGGCUUUGUUUCCUGAACGUAUUCUUGACAGAUGCAGAGCUUAUAACUUGCAGUGAAUGCCAAGAAUGAAGUACUCAGACAGUUCCAGCUGAGUGCGGGGGGAUAGGGAGUAGCUCUUCCUAGAGAGUUCACCCCAGCAUCUGUCCACCAGGCAAACCUGAGUUCCAGCUACAAGGUACUAUCUGCAGUUUGUCCAUCUGGAGCUUUGCUUGGUUCUGCAAUGAGAGGCUUAUAAAUAGACACAUCAAGUGCCUGAUACUCAAUCCAUGGCAGCUGUUAUUAAUAAGAAAAUCUCAUUUGCAAAAGGCUUUUUCUACACAGUUGAAUUGGUCCAGUGAAGUAAUCCUAUUAAAAACAAAAACCUGUCUCAAGAGGCCCAGGAGAAGUAUGUUAUUUGCAUAGAUUUGCAUAUCAAUUCAUAGCUGGUGAAAUUCCUCAUUAAGGAGUAGAUUUCUCCAAGUUGCUGAAACCCAAGAGGGCACAUAUUUUGAGCCAAUUAAUUUUAUGAUCAGGAAGAGUCUUGCUCUCCCUGCUACCUACCUCUCCCCCCAACAAAAGUAAGACUUCACCCCAAACCCAGGUGUUACCUGGAAAUUCUGACUGGAGAGUGGGGGUGCAAAGGCAGGUUGGUCUGCCUGGAUAUUUAUUGAUUGGAGAGUCUGAAGGAGGGAGGCAAGAAACACUUAAAGCCAGGAGCCAGCCCCAAGCCAGAGUUUGUAUCCCUCUCUGAGAAUCAGAUGCUGUAAAUGAAACCCAGACCAGGGGCUUCUCCAGCACCUUCUCUCCUGUCCAGCAUUCUUACCUGAGGUGUAUCUCCCUACAUCCACAUUUCCCUUAGUUCCAUUCUUCUUGUCCCCCCGACACAUUUCCCUCACCUUUGGUGCUUCCAACAGUAAAGCAGGAAUAAAAAUAAUUAAUAAUCCUACCUCUGGGAUUAAGAAGGAGAGGAGGAGAGGGCUAGUGCAUAAUGUGGGCUGAAUAACCAAGAAAUGUUAGCUGUUUGUUUCAGUUGUCUGUUACUUGCAUAACAAACUACCCUAUAACUUAGUGGCUUAAGACAACAGCGUUGCUUGCUCAAAAUUCUGUGAGUCAGAAAUUCAGAGUAGGUUCAGAUGGGAGGCUUGCUCCAUGUGGCAUCGGCAGGGGUCAUUCAAUCAGCAGCAUAAGCCAGUGGCUAGGUUAGAAUGGAAUUUUCAAGAAGGCGUCACUAUUCUGGGGUGCCUCUGUGCUUUUCCCUGUGGCCAUUCUCUACAUGUAGCUAGCUUGGGCUUCCUCACAACAUAGUGGUUGCAUACUUUUUAUCUAGCAGCCAGCUUCUAAAAGGAGGUGUUCGAAAGAGGAAAGCAGAGCUGCCAAUCUCCAAGGCCUAGUCUUAGGAAUUACAGGGUCACUUUCAUUGUGUUCUGUUGGUCAAAACUACUCCGAGCCUAGCACAAAUAUAAAGGGGGAGGGGAUAAACUCCAUUUCUUAUUUAUUUAUUUAAAGAUGGGGUCUUGCUCUGCUGUCCAGGCUGGAAUUCAGUGACACAGUCGUGACUCACUGCAGCCUCAACCUCCCAAGCUCCGGCAAUCCUCUCACCUCAGUCUCCUGAGCAGCUAGGACUAUAGGCAUGGGCCACCAUGCCCAGCUAAUUUUUCUAAUAUUUUGUAAAGACAGGGUCACCCUAUGUUACCCAGGCUAGUCUCCAACUCAUCAACUUAAGCAGUCCUCCUGCCUCAGGCCCACAAAGUGCUAGGAUUACAGGUAUGAGCCACUGAGCCUAGCCAACUCCAUUCUUGACGGGAAAGUGGCAAAGAAUGUGCAGCCAUCUUUAACCUACCACAUUGUUGACCGACAAUCUCAUUCAUUUCAUCUGUGGCCUUGAGAAUUUUCCCAAGACAAGAUCACAGAUAUUUUUUCAAAACACUGACCCGAACAUGUUAUCAUCUCUCUAAUAAAGCCUUCAAGACCUUCAUUACCUAUAGAAAACAAUUCAAGUUCCCUAGGUUGACAUUGGAGACCCUUCAAAACUUGUACUCUACCUCUCCAGCCUGACUUCUAACCGGCAAGCACACAUGUGCACGUACCUCCUCCCACAAGUUUACAGACACUAUCACACAAGCAAAAACACACACACACUCAAACACAUACAUGCUGUUGACUGCCGACUUCCCAGAAAGACCACCAGAAUAACCCAUGCAUCAAACAAAGCCAUGACUUUUUUUUCCAAACUGCUGUCAGAGGCAGCAAAUUAAUCCUGAUCAGGCCAUAGGAGUGUCUCAGAGGGGUAGACAAGUGGCAGAUACCUAUUGGAUUUUAGUGUUCUAAUUCAAGUGGUUUGGCCGGGCAGCCUGUAAUCUUAGCAAUUUGGGAGGCCUAGGUGGGUGGAUCACCUGAGAUCAGGAGUUCAAGACCAGCCUAGCCAACAUGGUGAAAUCUGGUCUCUACUGAAUAUACAAAAAUUUGCCAGGGGUGGUGCAUGUCUAUAAUCCCAAAUCCUCAGGAGGCUGAGGCAGGAGAAUCACUUGAACCCGGGAGGAGGAGGUUGCAGUGAGCCGAGAUUGUGCCACUGCACUCCAGUCUGGGCAACAGAGCAAGACUCCAUCUCAAAAAAAGAAAAAUAAGUGAUUUAAGGUGGGUCUUUGAAUGUGUGGAACUGAUUAGGAUUGGGCAAAGUUUUUGAGGUUCUAAUUUAGGAUGGGGGCCACAGUGGGGCAAGAGCAAGAAAGCGAGUUUUGAUUAGGAUGCAAUUGAUUGGCAAGUAAACUUUCUGCCCAGGUGAGCAUCCAGCUGUCCAGAGAAAGGAGUUACCUGCCCAAGUAAGCAACACCUUGUUUAAACAGGUUUUCAAGAAUUUCCAGAGCAAACAGUGAGGUAUUUAUUGGUUUAGAGUUUUAUCUUCUCAGGCAAGAAUGUUCUGGAAUAAAUAGUGGGCAUGUUGACACAGGUGGUUUCAGUCUUCAGUCCUGAUAACUAAGCCACAUGGACCUCAGUCCUUAACACACACAGUCACCUUCAUCUUCCCCAGUCUCUGCAGUUUCUUUUUUUUUUUUUUUUUUGAGACAGAAUCUCACUCUGUCACUCAGCAGGCUGGAGUGCAGUGGCACAAUCUCAGCCCUCUGCAACCUCCACUUCCCGGGUUCAAGAGAUUCUCGUGCUUCAGCCUCCUGAGUAGCUGGGAUUACAGGUGCGUGCCACCACACCCAGCUAAUUUUUGUAUUUUUAGUACAUUUGGAGUUUCACCAUGUUGGCCAGGCUGGUCUUGAACUCCUGACCUUAGGGGAUCCACCUGCCUCAGCCUCCCAAAGUGCUGGGAUUACAGGCAUAAGCCCCCACGCCCAGCGUAGUGUCUGCAUUUUCAUUUUCAUAUCACACCCUCUGCCCUAACAUUUUCAUGUCACACCCUCUGCCCUCUAAAAAUUUUUGUAUUUUUAGAGCACAAAUUAAAUGUAAUGUGUGCUCAUUACUGAAAAGUCCAAGAAUAGAAAAGGUUAGGGCUGGGUGAGGUGGCUCACACCUGUAAUCCUAGCACUUUGGGAGGCUGAGGUAGGUGGAUCCCCUGAGGUCAGGAGGUCCAGACCAGCCUGGCCAACAUCAAGAAACCCUCUCUCUACUAAAAAUACAAAAUUAGGGCUGGGCACAGUGGCUCACACCUGUAAUCCCAGCACUCUGGGAGGCCGAGUCGGGCGGACCACAAGGUCAGGAGAUCGAGAUCAUCCUCGUCACCAUAGUGAAACCUCGUCUCUACUAAAAAUACAAAAAUUACCUGGGCAUGGUGGCACGUGCCUGUAGUCCCAGCUACUUGGGAGGCUGAGGCAGGUGAAUUGCUUGAACCCAGGAGGCAGAGGUUUCAGUGAGCCAAGAUCGCGCCACUGCACUCCAGCCUGGUACCUGGCAACGGAGGGAGGCUCUGUCUCAAAAAAAAAAAUACAAAAUUAGCCAAGCAUGAUGGCACAUGCCUGUAAUCCCAGCUAAUAUGGAGGCUGAAAUAGGAGACUCACUUGAACCUGGGAGGCUGAGGUUGCAGUGAGCCGAGGUUGCUCCACUGCACACCACCCUAGGCAACAAGAGCAGAACUCCAUCUCGAAAAAAACAAAAGAAAAAGAAAGACACCAAGCUGUAAUCAGUCUAGCAGUUCCUGUGCUUACUUCCAUUUUCUGUAUGUCACUUUCCUUUUUUUGUCCAUAAAUCUUAUCGAAUCAUCUAGUUGCCCUGGAGUCCUCUAAAUCUGUCUGGUUCUGAGGGCUGCCCAGAGCAUUUUUUUUCUUUCUCACUCAAUUAAACUUUGUUAAUUUAAUUUGUCUCAAGUUUUUCUUCUAAUAUUUGAUGUCAGAAGUGAGGAUGUAAAGUAAAAUUCCAGUGCACCAGGUGACCAGUUCAGGUACCCACGAAUCCAACUGUGUUCACUGCCCUCUUGGUAACUGGAGGGCCAUGGGUGGCUUUUCCUUUUUUUUUUUUUUUUUUUGAGACAGAGUCUCUGUUGCCUAGGCUAGAGUGCAGUGGCACAAUCUUGGCUCACUGCAACCUCCACCUCCCAGGUUCAAGGGUUUUUCCUGCCUUGGCCUCCUGAGUACCUGAGCCACCAUGCUCAGCUAAUUUUUGUAUAUUUAGUAGAGAUGGGGUUUCACCAUGUUGGCCAGGCUGGUCUUGAAAUCCUGAUGUCAAGUGAUCCACCCGCCAAGGCCUCGCAAAGUGCUGGGAUUACAGGUGUGAGCCACUGUACCUGGCUGAUGGGUGGCUUUUCUCUUAUAUUCCAAGUUCCACUAAAUUAUGCUUUAAGCUAAGUUGAUUUGAGCAAUAUUUAGACUGAUCUGAGUUCAAGAUCAGAUUGAAUUUGAUAAUUAACUGCAUUAGAUUCAGUUAAAAGACUUAGGCUUUAGAUAGUGCUUUUCUGAUAACGAGUUCAUCUCAAUUCAAGUCUGGGACUCUACCUUCUAGAGUUCCAGAUAAUCUUAUGUUUAAAAGCUGGGAUUACAGACAUGAGCCACAGCACCCAGCCCCCCAAAAAAAAAAAAUGUUUUUUAACAGCCAGGUGUGGUGGCAAAUGCCUGUACUCCCAGCUACUCGGGAGGUUGAGGUGGAAGGAUCACCUGAGCCUGAGAGAUCGAAGCUGCUAUGAGCCAUGAUUGCACCACUGCACUCCAGCCUGGGCCAUGGAGCCAACUUUUUUGCUUCAUUACCCUUUUACCCUGAAGAUGAUGAAAAAAGAGAAGUUAGACAGAUGUAUUCCUGCUGUAACCACCUUCACUCCAUGGCUUAAAACAGAGUUUAAAGCUAUUAUGAAAGACUUCCCUAGCCUACAGGAAAAUCCUCAAAAAUUUACUGAAGAAUCAUCUUGAAUUGUAAUGAAAAAUAAAUAAAUAAAAUUUAAAAAUUUGCUGAAGAAUGGUCCAGACAUGGUGGCUCACACAUGUAAUCCCAGCACUUUGAGAGGCUGAGUGGGUGGAUGACCUGAGGUUGGGAGUUCGAAACCAGCCUGACCAACAUGGAGAAACCCCAUCUUUACUAAAAAUACAAAAUUAGCCAGGCAUAGUGGUGCACUCCUGUGAUCCCAGCUACUCAGGAGGCUGAGGCAGGAGAAUUGCUUCAACCUGGGAGGCAGAGGUUGUGGUGAGCUGAGGUCGCAUCACUGCACUCCAGCCUGGGUGACAGAGCAAGACCUUAUCUCAAAAAAAAAAUUACUGAGGAAUUUAGAAUUCUUUUUGGAGCUUACAAUUCAUGACUCCCUGACCUUUACGAGUUUAUCCACAUGAUAUUGGGGCCUGACGAAGCUUGAAAAUGGCUGGCAGCAACUCCAUGGGACAGACCUGAGGAGAAUAUGAAAGAACCCCCAAAACCUCUUCAUGAGAAGGGCUAAAAGGAACUAGAAGAAUUGCAGAAAACCUUUUAAGUUCAAUUCCUAAGAUUUUUCCGCACACAGAAAAAUUGAUUGGUCCAUCAUACUAUCCUGUAGACAAAAACAGGAUGAACCAGUUUCAGAUGAAAGAACCCGCUUAGAAACAUUGUGAAAUAUUCUGGGCUGAAAGUAGAGCAAGGAGUAUUUCCUGCAGGGACUGAAAUGGCAUUAACCUCUCUUUAUAAGUGGACUCCACUCUGAACUUAACAGUUUAAUUAAAAAAAAAAAACAUAAACCUGGAUGGGAAGUUACAGAUAUGCUUGAAUUGGUGGCCUUAACUGAACAUUUUGAGAUGACUCUAGUGUGAAAAAACAAAAAGCCAAAAGGCUAAUAAGCUUAUAUCUCUCCAAUUACAACAGUUACAGGGGCCCAGACCAAAAGGAUCUUCUCGUUUUUAUUUUAAAUCACAAACAAGAGGUCCUAGAACAAGAAAUUAUUUACUCUGAGGUGUCUGCCUUCAUUACAAACCACAGGGGAAUGCAACAGGGGGUUACUAAAGUCUUCCUUACUUUGGGGAGACUGGAAAAAUGAUUGCCCACUUUCAUGUCAGUCCACCAGCAAGCUUCCUCCCUUUGGGACCAGUCUGUGAUACGGUUUGACUGUGUCCCCACCCAGAUCUCAUCUUGAAUUCCCACGUGUUGUGGGAGGAACCCCGUAGGAGGUAAUUGAAUAAUGGGGGUAAGUCUUUCCCAUGCUAUUCUUGUAAUAGUGAAUAAGUCUCACAAGACCUGUUUUUUUUUUGAGACAGAGUCUUGCUCUGUCACCCAGGCUGGAGUGCAAUGGCACAAUCUUGACUCACUGCAACCUCCACCUCCCAGGUUCAAGCAAUUAUCCUGCCUCAGCCUCCCAAGUAGCUGGGACUGUAGGUGCAUGCCAUCACACCCAGCUAAUUUUUUUUAUUUUUAGUAGAGAUGGGGUUUCACCAUGUUAGCCAGGAUGGUGUUUAUCUCCUGACCUUGUGAUCCACCCACCUUGGCCUCUCAAAGUAGGGAUUACAGGUGUGCGCCACCAUGCUCGGUCAAUCUAAUGGUUUUAUAAAGAGGAGUUCUCCUGCACAAGUUCUCUCCUUUUGCCUGCUGCCAUCCAUGUAAGACAUGAUUGCUCCCCCUUGCCUUUUGCCAUGGUUGUAAGGCCUCCCCAGCCAUGCGAAACUGUAAAUCCAUUAAACCUCUGUUUCUUCCCAGUCUCAGGUAUGUCUUUAUUAGCAGCAUGAAAAUGAAUUAAUAGAUCCUGUUUCAUCUCCAAUGAGUACACAAGAUAUGUCAGUUCUUGUGAUGAUAGUCAGCAUGAAUGAGGCUCCAAGAGAGUCUCCAAUUUUGUAAAAUGCUUAAGUAAACAUGGAGAAACAAGAGUUAAAUGAAUAAAUGAAUGAAUGAAUGAAUGAAUGAAUGAAUGAAGAGGCAGAGUAUAGUGGCUCACACCUAUAGUCCCAGCACUUUGGAAGGCCAAGGUGGGUAGAUAGCCUGAGCCCAUGAGUUUGAGACUAAACUGUGCAAAAUCCCAUCUCUACCAAAAAAUAGUAAUAAUAAUAAUACAAAAAUUAGCCAGGCAUGGUAGUGUGUGCCUAUAGUCCUAGCUGUUGCUGAGGCUAAGGUGGCAGAAUCUCUUGUGCCCAGGAGGCACAGAUUGUAGUGAGUGGAGAUUGUACCCUUGCACUCCAGCCUGGGUGACAGAGCAAGACCCUGUCUCAAAUAAAUAAGAAUUUUCAUUUUAAUGAAGAUUCUGAGCUGGGCACGGUGGCUCAUGCCUGUAAUCUCAACACUUUGGGAGGCCGAGGCAGACGAAUCAUAAGGUCAGGAGUUCAAGACCAGCCUGGCCAACAUGGUGAAACCCCGUCUCUACUAAAAAUACAAGAAAUUAGCUGGGCGUAAUGGCAGAUACCUAUCAUCCCAGCUACUCAGGAGGCUGAGGCAGGAGAAUUACUUGAACCUGGGAGGCAGAGGUUGCAGUGAGCCGAGAUCACCACUGCACUUCAGCCCAGGCAGUGGAGUGAGACUCCAUCUCAAAAGGAAAAAAAAAAGUAUCUAGGCUGGGCAGAGUGGCUUACACCUGUAAUCCCAGCACUUUGGGAGGCCGAAGCAUGUGAAUCAUGAGGUCAGGAGUUUGAGACCAGCCUGACCAACACAGUGAAACCCUGUCUCUACUAAAAAUACAAAAAAUUAGCUGGGUGUAGUGGCGGCUGUCUAUAAUCUGAGCUACUCAGGAGGCUGAGGCAAGAGAAUUGCUUGAACCCAGGAGGCGGAGGUUGCAGUGAGCCAAGAUCGUGCCACUCCACAGCCCGGCAACAGAGUGAGACUCCAUCUCAAAAAAUAAAUAAAUAAAUUAUAAAAAAUAAAACAUGAAGAAUCUUGUGCUGUCUUGGUGGAUAUCAGAACCACCUCAUUCAUAAACCCCACUUUAAUAUGCCAACAAAUCUUGCAUAUUGAAAAGGUCAUUUCUGUGGUGGGUUGGGGUCAUUUCAACCAAGUUCAAGAGGUUUCCUUAUCUGAACCCAUUCAAUUGACUUUGGGGCUAUUUUCAGAAAAACAUACCUUUUUACUGUGAUACUGCUCCAGUAUACUUGCUAGGUUGAGACUUACUUUCAACACUAAAAGGCAUAUCAAUAUCUCCUCGGAGAAAAAAAUUAAUCUUAGAGUUUCCCGACUCUCCUGAACCAGAACUGUUCUCUCUACAGACAGAAAUUGAUAAGAUCGACUCUCAAACCUGUAAUAACCCUGACAUUUAUAAAACACCUGAAUGCUUAUGGGCCUCUUUCUCAAAUGAUAUAGGAAGGACUAAAAGGGUGGAACCUAUAAAAGUGCAAAUGGAUCAUUCUAAACCUCUACCUAAGUUACCCCAAUCCACUAAUACCAGAAGCAAUUCGAGGGCUCUCACCAAUUGCACAAGAUUUACAAUUCUGUGUUAUCAGUCCUUGAAAUGCUCCAAUCCUACCAGUUAAAAAAAAAAAAUACUAAGUGGCUGGGAGGCAAUGGCUCACGCCUGUAGUUCCAGCACUUUGGGAGGCCAAGGCAGGCAGACCACUUGAGGCCAGGAGUUCAAGACCAGCCUGGCGAACAUAAUGAAACCCUGUCUCUACUGAAAAUACAAAAAUUAACCAGAUGUGGUAGCACACACCUCUACUACUAGCUACUAGGAAGGCCGAAGCAGGAGAAUUGCUUGAACCCAGGAAGCAGAGGUUGCAGUGAGUCAAGAUCAUGCCAUUGCACUCCAGCCUGGGUGUCAGAACAAGACUCUGUCUCAAAAACAAAACAAAUAAGAUGAGGUCAGAGAUUUGUUUUUGUUCAAGAUUCAUGGGCAAUUAAUAAAAUUGUAAUACCAAGUCUUUCUGUGGUUCCAAACUCUAAAACUUUAUUAUCUAAUUUACCCUCUGAUUCAAAGUGGUUCACAGUAACAGACCGCUCUUAGCCUUCUUUAGCAUUCCCGUUUAUAAAGACAGUCCAUAUUUGCUUUUAUCUGGAAAAGCCAGCAGUAGCCCUGGACUAUAAUGGCACAGAGGUUUACUGAAGCCUAUUUUUAUUUUCCCAGGUAUUGCAUCAGGACUUUAGCCCUACAGUUUCCCUGAGAUCCUAUGUUUUCUUUUCCUUUUAUUUUUCUUUAUUAAAUAUAUAUUUUUUAAUAGAGAUGAGGUUUUGCUAUGUUUCCCAGGCUAGUCUUUAACUCCUGAGCUCAAGCGAUUUACCCACCUCAGUUUCCCAAAGUGCUGGGAUUACAAGCAUGAGCCACCCUCCGCCUGGUUGAAAUCCUAUUCUUAUUCAGUAUGCAGAUGACAUGUUAUGCUCUCCCACUGAAGAGUGCUCUGGGCCAGGCCUGGUGGCUCACGCCUGUAAUCCUAGCACUUCGGGGUGCUGAGGCAGGCAGAUCACUUGAGGUCAGGAGUCCAAGACCAGCUUGGCCAACAUGAUGAAACCCUGUCUCUACUAAAAAUACAAAAAUUAGCCAGUGAUGGUCACUCCCGCCUGUAGUCCCAGCUACUCAGGAGGCUGAGGCAGGAGAAUCGCUUGAACCCAGGAGGUGGAGGUUGCAGAGAGCUGACCAAGAUUGUGCCACUGCACUCUAGUCUGGGCAACAAAGCGAGACUCCUUCAAUUAAAAAAAAAAAAAAACUAGUGCCCUGAUACCAAAGGUGUUGAAUGAGGCAAAGGAAAAAAACACAGUGCUCUGAAAUUGACUCCAUUACCUUUUACAGCAACUCCCUCACCCACAUAGGUCACAAAGCUUUGGUGGAAAAACUUUAGUUUUAUGUCAAGAGAAAAGUUUACUAUUUGGGAUAUGACUUGACUGCUAAAGGGAUUUCUCUCUCACCUGACAGAAUAAAAACAAUUCAGAGUUUUUCUCAGCCUGCAACCAAAUGACGAUUAAGAGGUUUGCUUACACUUGCAGGAUAUUGCAGAUCCUGGAUCCUCAACUUUUCUGUGAUGUCUUCACCGUUGUAUGAGCUCACUAGAAACACAGUCCCAGCGCAUUACCUUGAGCCGACAGUCAUGGGCAGGCUUUUAACCAUGAAAUCGGCCUUACAACCGCCCCCAGCUUUAUGACUUUCAAAUUAGGCUAAACCUUUUACCUUGUUCGUUCCUAAACCUCAUAUCAGGCAUUAGGAGUUCUUACCCAAAAACAUGGGGAGAAACAGGCCCAUUGCCUAUUAUAAGCUGCAAUUAGACCCAGUAGCUAAGGCAUAUCCUAAUUAUUUAAAAGCAGUAGCAGCAGAAGCCUAGUUGGUAGAAGCUUCAUAGGAGCUGGUUUUAGGAAAUGAACUUAAUUUGCAAGUUCCAUAUGCUGUGGAAAAGCUAUUAAAUUCCAACCAAACUCAGCAUUUUUCAGUAAGUAGACUAACAUCUCAUGAAAUUCUUCUCCUGUCUCUCCUCUCCAUCUAAAAUGUUGCAACCUACUUACCCCUGCUAUUUAUUUACCUCUGCCUGACAAUGGUGAAGAUCACAGUUGUGUGAGUGUAGUAUCAGAAGUUGGUUGGGCACAGUGGCUAAAGCCUGUAAUCCCAACACAUUGAGAGGCCAGGGCGGGCAAAUCACAAGAGGUUAGGGGUUCGAGACUAGGCUGGCCAACAUGGUGAAACCCCGUCUCUAUUAAAAAUGCAAAAAUUAGCUGGAUGUGGUGGCAGGUGCCUGAAAUCCCAGCUACUCAGGAGGCUGAGGUGGGAGAAUCACUUGAUCCCAGGAGGCAGAGGUUGCAGUAAGCCAAUAUUGCACCAGGGCACUCCAGCCUGGGCCACAGAGACAGGCUCUGUCUCAAAAAAGAAAAAGGAGAAAAUAAAUAGUGGGCAGUGCAUUCUGCACUUCUGCGGAUCUGUCUCUUGCUUCAACAGUGUUUUGGCUGAUGCCAGUAAUCUCAGCACUUUAGGGAGCGGAGGCAGGCGGAUCACUUGAGGUCUAGAGUUCGAGACCAGCCUGGCCAACACAAAACUCCAUCUCUACUAAAAAUAAAAAAAUUAGCCGGGCAUGGUAGCGGGCGCCUGUAAUCUCAACUAUUUGGGAGACUCAGGCACGAGAAUCACUUGAAUCCAGAGGGCAGAGGUUGCAGUGAGCCUAGAUCGCACCACUGCACUUCAGUGUUGGUGACAAAGCGAGACUCCGUCUCAAAAACACAAACAGUAUUUGGAUGGACCAGACCCAGGUCUCCCUCUCUUCCAGCCGCUGACUGCUCUCCACUCUCCCCUCCACUUGCAACCUCUAGACUAUCUUCUCUGCCACUGCCUGCUUCUGGGACCAGCCAACACCAUUUUUGUGAAUUGCUCCUUUUCUUAUCAACCAUGAGCUCCUAGAUUCAUCAGAAUUACUCUACCAAGAUGGAGACAGCUGUCAAGCACCUGGUCAGCUGGCAUCUGCAGGCCACCUACACCUGCCUCUCUCUGGGCUUCUAUUUCAACUGCCAAGAUGUGGCAUUCAAAGGCAUGGGCCACUUUUUCCACAAAUUGUCCAAGGAAAAGCACGAGGGCACCAAGUGUCUCCUGAAGAUGCAAAACCAGUGUGGCAACCACACUGUCUUCCAAAACUUCCAGAAGCCAUCUCAACAUGAGUGGGGCCACAUUCCCCAUGAUGUCAUUAUUGUGCAUUGCAUGACCAUAUCAGAAUAUAUCAUGAACCCCGUAAAUAAAUACACCUGCUAUGCACCCACAAAAAUUAGAAAUUAGAAAAUAUUUUUUAAGAUGAGUGGGGUAAAACCCUGGACACCAUGGAAGCCACCACAGUCCUGGAGAAGAACCUGAUCCAGGCCCUUCUGGAUCUUUAUGCCCGGGUUUCUGCCCACACAAACCCCCAUCUCUGUGACUUUCUAAAGAGCCUCUUCACAAUGAGGAAGUGAAACUGAUUAAAAAGAUGGGAAACCACUCUGCCAACCUCUGCAGGUUGUCUGGCCCCCAGGCCAACUGGACCAGUGUCUCUUUGAAAGGCUCACCCUCAAGCACAUCUAGGAGCCUACUAAACUGAGUAACUUCAGAAGGCCCCCUCUCAAAGUACCAGGGCUUCUGCCUGGGCCUCUCCCUCCAGCCACUGGGCAGCUUUUUAACCACUUUGGAGCUUUCUCCUUGCCUUGGACCAAACAGAAAUAAAGCUUUUUUCAACAGCAAAGAAACGGGAGGUGGGGCAGAAGAAAAGAAAGAACAAAAAAGUAAUAGCAACUCCUUAUGUUGAUUUACAAGAUACUCUGUAGGAUAAUCCUGAGUCAAUACUUUUUGUUGAUGGGUCCCAUGCUAAAAACUUGGAAGGAAAAUAAUAAGUAAGAUAUGCCAUUACCGGCCAGGCAUGAUGGCUCACACCUGUAAUCCCAGCACUUUGUGAACUCACCUGAUGUUGUGAGUUCAAGACCAGCCUGACCAACAUGGAGAAACCCCAUCUCUACUAAAAAUACAAACUUAGCCGGGCAUUGUGGCACAUCCCUGUAAUCCCAGCUACUCCGGAGGCUGAGGCAGGAGAGUCACUUGAACCCGGGAGGGGGAGAUUGUGGUGAGCCAAGAUUGCACCACUAUACUCCAGCCUGUGCAACAACAGCAAAACUCCGUCUCAAAAAAAAGAUAUGCCAUUACCACCCAAAAUGAGUUAACAGAGAAGGGAACUCUUCCUCAGUCUAAGGCAGCUCAACCUAAGGAGAUUUUGCUCUCAUCUAAGCUUGUUAUAUAGCUAAUGACAAAUCAGUAAAUAUUUAUACAGAUGUGGAUAUGUUUCUGGAGUAGGAUGUGAUGUUUUGCAUGUUAUGGAAAAAAUAAAGAUUCUCAGAGGCUGCCGGACCCGUGCCAGUGAACUGGCCGCUUCACAAAGAAAAAAAAGGAUUUCUCUCUUGUAUUGGGAGCCCUAUCAAAAAUGGACUCCAAUUAGAUGAAUUCCUUUCUGCUAUCCUGUUACUGUCACAGAUUGCCAUUAUUAAGAUUGAUGCCCAUACCUGUAAAACUCAGCCAAAUAUCAAGGAACUGCCCCAGUAGAUUUUAAUGCUGAGUCAGCUAGUGCUGAAACUGUUGACAUAUGCAAUUUGGAUGAACUCCAUAAGGUUAAUCCAAGUGAACUACUCCCUUUUGAUGACCUACUUAAUAAACAGUGCAAUGCAUCUAAUUUGGAAAAACAAAAUUGAUAUCUAAAAGUAUAUACAAACAUUAGCUGGACAUGCUGGCACCUGCCUGUAAUACCAGCUACUCUGGAGACUGAGGCAGGAGGAUUACUUGAACUGGGGAGACAGAGGUUGCAGUAAACUGAGAUAGUGUCACUGCACUAUAGCCUGGGCGACAAAGCAAGACUCCAUCUCAAAAUUAAAUAAAAAUAUAUAAAUUCAGUGUUAAUCACAGUCUCACAGAGGGUUUGGAUGGCCACCUAGUCCUACCUGAGUCUUUAAAGCUUCCAUUGUUAAAAGCUCUGCACUUUGUAACUCAUUGUGAAACAGAAAAAGUAUUCCAGGCCACAUACUGUGGUUCACGCCUGUAAUCCCAGCACAUUGGGAGGCUGAGGCGGGCAGAUGGCCUGAGGUCAGGAGUUCAAGACCAGUCUGGCCAACAUGAUGAAACCCUGUCUCUACUAAAAAUACAAAAGUUAGCCAGGCACAGUGGCACAUGCCUGUAGUCCCAGCUACUGGGGAGGCUGAGGCAGGAGAAUCACUUGAACCCAGGAGGCAGAAGCUGCAAUGAGCCAAGAUAGCACUGCUGUACUCCAGCCUCUCACUCAGGUGACAGACCAAGACUUCAUCUUCAAAAAAGAAAAAAUAUUUCAAAUUAUUAAAAAGUAUGGGUGGGGUGACUAUUCUAAAAUUGCUAAAAUGGUUUAUAACCAAUGUUUCGUUUAUCAAACGCAUAGUCCUGGGAAACAAUCAAACCUUCAGGGGGUAUACUUCCAGCACCUAAUGAACCAUCUGGAUAUUUACAGAGAGACUCCAUUCAGUUGCCACCCUCAGUGGGCUAUCAGUAUGUUCUUGUCAUAGUUGUAUGUUUUCGGGUUGGGUAGAGGCUUUUCCAUGUAGGAAAGCCAUACUGUGAGAGUAGCUUAAAAAAUUACAAAAUCUGUUUUCUCUACAAGAAAGAUUUCUCUACUGGAGAAGUCUAUAGCAAUAGUAGACCUCAUUUUACUAGGCAAGUUAUAAAGCAGUUAAAUAAGGUGUUACCCAGCCUGACCAACAUGGAGAAAACCUGUCUCUACUAAAAAUACAAAAAUUAGCCAAGCGUGGUGGCACGUGCCUGUAAUCCCAGCUACUCUGGAGGCUGAGGCAGGAUAAUCACUUGAACCAAGAAGGCAGUGGUUGCAGUGAGCUGAGAUCACCAUUGCACUCCAGCCCAGGCAACAGAGUGAGAAUCGAACUCAAAAAAAAAAAAAAAAGAAAGAAAGAAAAAGAAAAAAAAAUGAAGAAUCUAGGCUGGGUGCAGUGGCUCACACCAGUAACCCCAGCACUUUGGGAGGCCAAGGCAGGUGAAUCAUGAAGUCAGGAGUUUGAGACCAGCCUGGCCCAUGGUGAAACCCAGGCUCUACUAAAAAUAUGAAAAAUUAGCUGGGUAUAGUGGCGGUCACCUGUAAUCCCAGCUAUUCUGGAGGCUAAGGCAGAAGAAUCUCUUGAACCCAGGAGGCGAAGGUUGCAGUGAGCCUAGAUCGCGCCAAUGCACUAGAGUGAAACUCUGGCUCAAAAAAAAAAGUGGGGGGUUGCAGACACACUGCCCUUGUCCCUAUACCCUCAGACUCCCAGAAAGGUUGAAAGAACAAAUAGCAUCUUAAAACUUAAAUUGGAAAAGUUAACAGAGUCAAAUGGAUUACCUUGGCCAAAGGUCCUACCAUUGGCUUUACUGGUAAUCACAUCCAUUCCCACUGGAAAACAUAACUUGACCCCUUUAUAAAGUGGUCACUAGAAGGCCCAUGCUCCUAAUAAUAGAACUCCAUGCAUCUCUUCCGCUCCUUGUCUCUCAUAUGACUCAAUAUUGCAAGGCUUUAAUGCAUUAUGCCAAAGUGUAUUUUCAGCAGGUAAAGGAAUUGUUAAUGACCCAUCAACUGAGGACGGUCAAAUGGUUCAAAGUCUAGGGUCUGGAAAUUGGAUCAUCUGGAAAUGACAUCAGAGGAGACUGCCCUUGAACCUUGUUGGAAGGAAAGUACAAAUUUCUUCUCAACACCCACAGUACAGUGAAGCUUAAGGGCUUCGAAUCUUAUGUCACAGCUCAAAAGGACCCCCUCAGAUUCUUGGAACUGUACCUUGGUUGACAAGUUUAAGGUAAAGGCAACCAGGGAAAUUUCUCCCCUGAAGCAGAAGGCAUACUAGAAGUGGAGAGAUUUUCCAAGAUCAUGGAGCAAAACUUCUCUGCCAUCAUAAAAGCCUUAUGCCUUGGCUGGGCACAGUGGCUCAUGCCUGUAAUCCCAGCACUUUGGGAGGCCAAGGCAGGCAGAUCACAAGGUCAGGAGAUCAAGACCAUCCUGGCUACCAUGGUGAAACCCCGUCUCUACUAAAAAUACAAAAAAAAAAAAAAUUAGCCGGGCGUGGUGGUGCAAGCCUGUAGUCCUAGCUACUCGGGAGGCUGAGAGAAGAGAGUCGAUUGAACCCAGGAGGCAGAGCUUGCAGUGAGCCAAGAUCGCACCACUGCACUCUGGUCUGGGCUACAGAGUGAGACUCCUUCUCAAAAGAAAAAAAUGCCUUACGCCUUUUUCUUUUUUCCUCAUUUCCUCCUGUCCUAUCCUUUCCUUUUUCCUACAGAAAAGUCUAUAGGACUAUAAUCAAGCUUUAGCUCAAGCUAAUGCCCUAGCGCAAAACCAGAGCAACCGCUGGGUUUCUGGGCUAAUGGCAAAAAAAAAAUCAGAGAGCAAUUCCACUAACACUAAUGCCUCUCUGUGUUUUCAAUAAGAGUCACCUAAAAAUUUCAAAGGAAGAGCAGAAAGCGAUCCUUGAUAUUCUAAAUAUCAUUGCUAAUGGCUUUCCUGCACUCUAACUUUUUCAGUUAAUAACCUAAGCCUAUAAUCUCAGCACUUUGGGAGGCCGAAGCAGGCAGAUCACAAGGUCAAGAGAUAGAGAUCAUCCUGGCCAACAUGGUGAAACCCCAUCUCUACUAAAAAUACAAAAGUUAGCUGGGUGUGGUGACACAUUCCUGUGGUCCCAGCUACUCAGGAAGCUGAGGCAGGAGAAUCACUUGAACCGGGAGGUGGAGGUUGCAGUGAGCAUCACUGCACUCCAGUCUGGGUGACAGAGCGAGACUCAGUCUCAAAAAAAACAAAUAAAAAAAAAUUUUAAAUAACCUAAUUGUUAGCAAAUAUAGAAAAUCUGAGUGAUGCCAGCACAAGGCAUAUCGUGCCUCCAGGCAUCACACACUCAAGAUCUGGGAACUUGUGCAAUUAAUUGUACUUAUGUGUGUACAAGUAAUUGCUUAUAUAAUGUUACUGGAUUAAAUCCAGUAGGAUCCUUUUUGACUAAAUGUGGUAAUACAGUAAGUCCUCACCUAACAUUGUUUAUAGGUUGUUGGAAACUGCAAGUAUAAGCAAAAUGCAGUGCACAGCAGAUACUCAAAUAAUGCAUUUUGUUCAGCCUCAUUUCAUUAUAAUGUUGAUGAGAAAAAAAUGGUUUUAUUAUAGUCAUUUUGCUUAAAGCUGCAGUUUCCAAGAACCUACCAAUGAUGUUAAGUGAGGAUUUACUGUACAGCCUUACAGCAUGUUAUAAAGGGGACACAAAAAAAGUGGAUUUUCUGCUGAACCUUGUUCAGAAGCUAUGCAGAUUUGUGGGUGAAGAAAUUUAAGUGACAUUGCUAAAACACAACUAGGUCGCCCUCAUUUCAAGCCCCUGAGGGCCUAUAUUGGGUCUGUGAAGCAUCUGCUUAUUUCUUUCUGCAUUUUUCUUUUCUUUUUUUUUUUUGAGACGGAUUCUCACUGUGUGCCCUAGGCUGGAGUGCAGUGGUGCAAUCUCAGCUCACUGCAACCUUCACCUCCCAGGUUGAAGUGAUCAUCCUGCCACAGCCCCCCAAGUAGCUGGUAUUACAGGCACACCCCACCAUGCCCGGCCUCAUUCUGCCUUUUUGCUGGUUCAGAUCUUGCUAUUUGGCCUAGCUCAUUAUUGCCUUUUGAAUAGCUUCCCCUGGAAGUCUCCAUAAUAGCUCCUACAAUCGGUGGUCAAAAUUGUCAAUAACAGAAAUUAGCACCAACCUUAAAUUAGAUAAAGAUAAACUAGUUUCCAAUGAGGGACGAUUCUAAUAGGGUUCCUCGGGGCCUACUGUUGGUGGUAGUGGGAUGCCAGUUGUAUGGAAUUUAGUGGUGGCUCAAGCCUAUAAUCCCAGCACUUGGGAGGCUCUAUGAAUGGAUCACGAGGUCAGGAGUUCGAGACCAGCCUAGCCAAUAUGGUGAAACCCUGUCUCUAAUAAAAAUGCAAAAAAUUAGCCAGGCAUGGUGGUGUGCACCUGUAGUCCCAGCUACUUGGGAGGCUGAGGCAGAAGAAUUAUUUGAACCCAAGAGGCAGAGGUUGUAGUGAGCUGAGAUUGUGCCACUGCAUUCCAGCCUGGGUGACAGAGCAAGACUCCAUCUUGGAAAAAAAUAUGCUGAUCUAUAAAUUGGAAAAAAAUCUUAGAUUUUGUAGCCAAUCAGAUUUCCCAGGGUUUUAAAUGGCCAUUCUCCAAAAAGUGGAUGAUAGCAUACACAUUCAACACAAACUUAAUAGAAUAUCAUACAGCUUAUAGACCUUCUUUUUAAAAGUCUAUAAAACUAAGGGUUUAUGUUUGGUGUGGAAAAAAACUGAAUGUUGGCCAGUCGCAGUUGCUCACACCUGUAAUCCCAGCACUUUGGGAGGCCGAGGUGGGUGGAUCACCUGAGGUCAGGAGUUCAAGACCAGCCUGGCCAACAUGGUGAAACCCCAUCUCUACUUAAAAUACAAAAAUUAAUCGGGCAUGGUGGCAGGUGCCUGUAAUCUCAGCUACUAGGGAGGCUGAGUCAGGAGAAUCUCUUGAACCCAGGAGACAGACGUUGUAGUGAGCCGAGAUUGUACCAUUGCACUCUAGCCUGGGCAACAGAGCAAGACUCGGUCUCCAAAAAAAAAGAAAAAAACAGAAUCACACUGCCACCUAGGUUGUAGUAUAAUGGUGUGAUCAAGGUUCAUGGAAGCCUAGUCUCAACUUCCUAGGUUCAAAUGAUCCUCCCACCUCAGCCUCACAGGUAGCUGGGACUACAGGUGUGCACCAGUAUGCCCAGCUACUUUUUAAAUUUUUUUGGCGAGACGAGGUCUCACUAUGUUGCCCAGGCUAGUCUUGAACCCUUGGGCUCAAGCAAUCCUCCCUACUUGGCCUCCUAAAUCACUGAGUUUAUAGUUGUUUGCCACUAUACCCAGCCUCAAGCUUCUUUUUAUAUUGUGCAAUAAGGUCAGGAGCAACUGGUGACCACAGAUAUAUGGGCAUCUGCAGGGGUCCAAGGAGUUUGCAGAACUUCUUGCUCAGGGUCAGUUACUUGCCGGAUGACACAAACCAGGCCACCUUGUUCCUAUAAAUCUUUAACAUAACACUGUUACUUGUAUGCAUACUUUCUUGUCUCCUCAGGGGUCUGUUUCAAAAGAGAAACAGUGGCCCAGAGUAGUGUCUGGUGCCUGCAAUCCCAGCACUUUGGGAGGCCAAGGCCGGUGGAUCACUUGGAGUUAGGAGUUCGAGACCAGCCUGGCCAACAUGGCGAAACACUGUAUCUACUAAAAAUACAAAAAUUAGCCAGGCAUCUGGGAGUGGUGGCACGGGUCUGUAAUCCCAGCGACUCACAAAAAUCGCUUGAACCUAGGAGGUGGGGGUUGCGGUAAGUCAAGAUUGCACUACUGCACUCCAGCCUGGGAUAGAGUGAGACGCUGUCUCAAAAAAAAAAAAAAUUAAAAAAGAGAAAUAGUCAUCAUUUCUAAAUUACAAAUUAUUUCCAUGAUUAUGUCAGCCUACGUGUAGGAAUGAGCAAAGGCAGAUAGCUUGUGUUAAAGAAACAGGAUGGAGAUAGCUACCUUAGAUUUCUGUUACAAUAUUAUUUACUUGAAGCUGCAAUUUAAUCUGAAUGCAUUCAGAGACUUGGCAAGAAAAAAAAAAGAAAAGAAGUCGUAAUUUAAUUGGAAUCUUGUUUUUGUUUCUGUUUUAGAGACAGGGUCUCACUAUGUUGCACAGGUUGCCCUUGAACUCCUGGCUCCAAGUGAUCCUCCUACUUCACACUCCAGUAGCUGAAUUUUAGGUGUAUGACACCAUACCUGGCUCGAAGUCCUGUUUGUUUUGUUUUAUCAAGACAGGGUUCUGCUCUGUUGCCUACGCCGGAGUGCAGUGGUACAAACCCGGCUCACUGUAGCCCUGACCUUCCAUGCUUAAGCAGUCUUUCCAAGUAGCUGGGACUACAGGUAUAUGCUACCACACCCAGCUGAUUUUUUGCCUUUUUGCAGAGACAAGAUCCCAUUAUGUUGCCUGGGCUGAUCUUGAACUCUUGGGCUCUGCCCAUCCCCUUGAGCCUCCCAAAGUGCUGGGGUUAUGGGUAUGAGCCUCUACACUUGGCCAAGUCCUGUACUUUUGCUUGUUAAGUAAUACAUCCUCACACCGGGCACAGAAAAUGAGGAAACGGUUGCAAGACCUUGGCUACAGAAUGCAUCACCACAUCAGAGAAGUAUAUGGGAGGCCGAGGAGGGCAGAUCACUUGAAGUCAAGAGUUCAAGACCAGCCUGGCUAACAUGGUGAAAUCUGUCUCUACCAAAAAUACAAAAAUCAGCUGGGCAUGGUGGCAGGCACCUGUAAUUCCAGCUACUCAGAGGCUGAGGCAGGAGAGUUGCUUGAGCCCUGGAGGAAGAGGUUGCAGUGAGUCCAGAUCGCACCACUGCACUCCAGCCUGCGAGACAGAGUGAGACUCCAUCUCAAAAAAGAGGAGGAGGAGGGGGGAGGGAGGAGUAUAAAGCCUGAUUUUCUGAAUAAUCUGUGUGUCUGCUCCCAGCAAAGCUUAUCACAUAAAGGGCAUCAUCUGUCCAGAUAGAUCUACAAACAGCAGCAAAGACAAUACACUAGGUACAUCUAGUUAUCCUUCAAAAGGCAGUUCAAAUGUCACCUCUUCUUUGAUGUUCAGUUAACUCUGCCCCAAGCCAAACAAACAGCUCCUCGCCUUGUGUUCUCCAAAGCUCAGUGUCCAUGCUGUGAAGCCCUGGCAAUUCAAAAGUGAGCCGUUGUUUAUGGAUCACAGGUGGUCACGCUGCGAUUCUCUGAGCUCUGUGUGUGCAGAGCUCUCACUCUGCUCAGCUUUGCCACCACAGUGUCCACCAUGGUGCCAGAUUGAGGCCACAGAGGCUCUACAAAUGUUUUGUUCAAUGAACAAGUGAAUAAAGAAUAAAGGCUCCUAUUUUAGAAAUGGAACAACCAAGGAAAAAUUAAAUCUGAUUCAACUUUCCUUUUUAUUUUUUGAGUCUGGUUCUGUCACCCAGGCUGGAGUUCAGUGGCAUGAUCUCAACUCAGUGCAACCUCCGCCUCCCAGGUUCAAGUGACUCUCCUGCCUCAGCCUCCUGAGUAGCUGGGACUAUAGGUGCACGCCACCAUGUCCAGCUAAUUUUUUUGUAUUUUUUUAGUAGAGACAGGGUUUCUCUUGAACUCCUGACCUCAUGAUCUACCCGCCUUGGCCUCCCAAAGAGCUAGGAUUUACAGGCGUGAGCCACCGUGCUUGGCCUCAACUUUCAAUUCAUACUUUUUUUUUUUUUAAUGUUUUAAUGGGUCUACCGCAAACAAGGAAAAUGAAUAUUUUAGAACUUGGAGUGAGACACCUCGAUGUACAGUGAUUGGAAGAGAUGCUUGUGAUGACAGACGCCGAACACCACUCUUCCUGGCCUGGGGCCAACAUCGCAUCGAGGGUGAUGGGUUUCCCUCCUCUACCAGUUUCUGCCUUGCACGGUGAUGGAACGAGCCUGGAUGGAAAAGUCCCCAGCUUCCGUUCUAACUCUGUGACCAUGGGCAAGUCAUUUUGCCUUGGUUUUCUCCUUUUUGAACUGCAAAGGAUGAUCUAAACUAAGUAAUCCCUAAAGUGCUGUUCAAUAGGGAACAGCACUUAUUGAGGUUCUUCAGUGCAGAUAUCUCUAGGGAUACAAAACAAGACCUAGUCCCUGACCUUCAGGAACUCACAGACUGCUGGAAAGACAGAGAAGCACAAGUUAAAUGCCCUCAAGUGUGGCUGAUACUCUGCACACACACAAAAAGAGGCAAUUGUCACCAUUUACUUUUCAUUCACAAUCAUCAUGUGCCAGUCACAGUCCCAAUUCCCACUGCCACCUUGUGAAUGAGCAUCAUUUUAAUCCUCAUUUAAGGAAGUGAAAUGACUUGCUCAAGGUCACUUGGCUAGUAUGUGUGCAGAGCUGCUAUUGAAAUAAGGCUGUCUGACUCAGGAACUAGCCCUCAACUGGAUGUGGUGGCCCACACCUGUAAUCCCAGCACUUUGAGAGGCCGAGGCAGGUGGAUCACCUGAGGUCAAGAGUUUAAGACCAGCCUGACCAAUAUGGUGAAACCCCAUCUCUACUAAAAAUACCAAAAAAAAAAUUAGCCAAGUGUGGUGGCGGGUGCCUGUAAUCCCAGCUACUCGGGAGGCUGAGUAAGGAGAAUCACUUGAACCUGGGAGGUGGAGGUUGCAGUGAGCUGAGAUAGUGCCACUGCACUCCUCCCUGAGUGGUGGAGUGAGUCUCCAUCUCAAAAAAAAAAAGAACUAGCCCUCUGGCAGCCAUAAAGAAGAAUGAAGUCACGUCCUUCGCAACAACAUGGAUGCAGCUGGAGGCCAUCAUCCUCAGCGAAUUAACGCAGGAAGAGGAAAACCAAUACCACAUGUUAUAAAUGAGAGCCAAACAUAGAACACACCUGGACAUAAAGGCAGAAACAACAGGCACUGGGGUCCACCAAAGGGUGAAAGGAGGGAGGUGGCAAGGGCUGAAAAUCUACCUUUUGGAUACUAUGGCAGGCCCAGUCACACCUCAAAAGUAGCAUCACGAAAUAUGCCUUUGUAACAGACCUUCACGUGUAUCCUCAAUUCUAAACUAAAAGUUGAAAAAGAAAAAAAAAUAGUAAAAGAGCAAAAAUAUUUUUAAAUCACUUAAAAAAAAAAAAAAACCAGCCCCCAUAACUACUCAGCACACUGCUUCUCAAUAUGUGAAAAGGAUCAGGGGCAGUGCCAA